rnacentral:rRNA from 1 species
UUAAGCAUAUCAAUAAGCGGAGGAAAAGAAACUAACAAGGAUUCCCCUAGUAACUGCGAGUGAAGCGGGAAAAGCUCAAAUUUAAAAUCUGGCGGUCGCCCUGGCCGUCCGAGUUGUAAUCUGGAGAAGUGUUUUCCGCGUCGGACCGUGUACAAGUCUUCUGGAACGGAGCGUCAUAGAGGGUGAGAAUCCCGUCUCUGACACGGACUGCCGAUGCUUUAUGUGAUACGCUCUCGAAGAGUCGAGUUGUUUGGGAAUGCAGCUCAAAAUGGGUGGUAAAUUCCAUCUAAAGCUAAAUAUUGGCGAGAGACCGAUAGCGAACAAGUACCGUGAGGGAAAGAUGAAAAGCACUUUGGAAAGAGAGUUAAACAGUACGUGAAAUUGUUGAAAGGGAAACGUUUGAAGUCAGUCGCGUUGGCCGGGACUCAACCUUGCUAUCUUGCUCGGUGCACUUCUCGGUCGACGGGUCAGCAUCAAUUUUGACCGUCGGAUAAAGGUCGAGGGAACGUGGCAUCCUCCGGGGUGUGUUAUAGCCCUUGGUUCGCAUACGACGAUCGGGAUUGAGGAACUCAGCACGCCUUCAUUGGUCGGGGUGUCUACCCACGUUAACGUGCUUAGGAUGCUGGCAUAAUGGCUUUAAGCGACCCGUCUUG